rnacentral:rRNA from 1 species
GUGCCAGCCGCCGCGGUAAUACCGGCAGCUCAAGUGAUGGCCGAUCUUAUUGGGCCUAAAGCGUCCGUAGCUGGCCUCGCAAGUCCGUCGGGAAAUCCAGUAGCUCAACUACUGGGCGUCCGGCGGAAACUACAAGGCUUGGGACCGGAAGGCUCGAGGGGUACGUCCGGGGUAGGAGUGAAAUCCCGUAAUCCCGAACGGACCACCGAUGGCGAAAGCACCUCGAGAAGACGGCUCCGACAGUGAGGGACGAAAGCUAGGGUCUCGAAUCGGAUUAGAUCCCUGUGUCC